GCCCGCAAAGGUGAGGACGCCGAGAACCACAGAGGAAGGCGUUUCUCGCGAACCUCAACUCUCGUGCACCAUGGCGACCCCCGUCCAGCAGCCUCCUCAGUCUGGCAGCGGGAAGCGCAAAGGCAAGGCUCAUUACGUGCCGGCCAAGCGGGCUCGGCGCUGCGAUGGCGGCGGGCCGCGGCAGCUGGAACCCGGGCUACAGGGCAUUCUCAUUACCUGCAACAUGAACGAGCGCAGGUGCGUGGAGGAGGCCUACAGUCUGCUCAACGAAUACGGAGAAGACAUGUAUGGACCGGAAAAGUUUACAGAUAAGGAUCAACAGCCCUCUGGAAGUGAGGGAGAAGAUGAUGUGGAGGCUGCUUUGAAGAAAGAAGUUGGUGACAUUAAGGCAUCUACAGAGAUGAGGCUAAGAAGAUUCCAGUCAGUGGAGAGUGGAGCAAAUAAUGUAGUCUUCAUCAGGACACUUGGGAUAGAACCUGAGAAGUUGGUACAUCAUAUUCUCCAGGAUAUGUACAAAACCAAGAAGAAGAAGACUCGGGUUAUUCUACGAAUGUUACCCAUCUCAGGCACAUGCAAGGCUUUCUUAGAAGAUAUGAAGAAAUAUGCAGAAACAUUUUUGGAACCCUGGUUUAAAGCUCCAAACAAAGGGACAUUUCAGAUAGUUUACAAAUCUCGGAAUAACAGUCACUUGAAUAGAGAGGAAGUUAUCAAAGAAUUGGCAGGAAUAGUGGGCAGCCUAAAUACAGAAAACAAAGUGGAUCUUACCAAUCCACAGUACACAGUGGUAGUAGAAAUCAUUAAAGCUGUCUGUUGCCUGAGUGUUGUGAAAGAUUAUAUGUUGUUCAGAAAAUAUAAUCUCCAAGAGGUGGUGAAGAGUGCUAAGGACCCAUCACAGCUUAACUCAAAGCAGACAGCACAAGCAGGAAAUGGAGCUAAAUUGGAAUCUGGUGACAAAUCAGAUCAAAAUGACUCCGCAGAAGGAACAAAUAACCCACAGGUAGUACCAGAGAAUAGUGAGGAGCCGGAGCAGACAAAACCAAUAUCUGAGACUGAGGUGGUGAAUGAGGGCGGAGCUAAGCCUGAACUUGGAAGUCAAGUCACAGAAGGAUCUGAGUCAAGUGAAAAUGGCCUCUCGUGAAAAAGCAUCAUUAGGUAUUGGAGGUGGGUUUCUCAACUGGGGUUCUGUGAGAUGUUCCUGGGGUUCCAUAUAAGAUUGCGACUGAAAAUAUCAUUUUUGAGCUGUGUGUGCUGCAUAAUGCUGUGCUCACAGUAGUGAACAGUGAUUGAGCAGCCCUGUUAACAGUUUUGUUAGAGAUCUUUUCUGCCCGGUGUGACUGCGUGCAGUGAGCCCACAUGCAUUUCGGUGAGCUAGGAGAAGCUGUGGAUAAUUGGUGAACACUUGCAUGGAGGGGAGAGUGGUAGGAGGAUGACAAUGGCCUGUCUGUCCCUCAUGAUUGUCUUCUCCCGCCUCCCCUUCUGCACUGCCAACUGACUUAAUGGGCGUGAACAAGCUUUGUGAAAGAUAAAUCCAGAGGGAAAUUUUCAUUCUAAGGAAAGAAUUUUUGUGUGUUGUAACUCAGCUGUCCUCUGCCACUUUGUUGUAAACUUGCAAAAACAUUGGUCAUAUAGGUUAAAGUGAAUUGUUUUGUGAGGUUUUUGUACGUUUUGUGAUUUUCUUGUUUAGUUGCUAUGCCUAUUUUUAUAUUUUGUUAACAUUUGUUUGUUACAAACAGAUCUGACAGUCCACUGCUGCAGUUUUUGAAGGCAAAGUGUGGGAUAGAAGAGAACCAUUCUAGGUAUAGAACCACAGAUAUUUCUGAUAAGGAGCUGACAAUGAAAGACAUGAGUGAGUGGAAAGAGAGAAGCAGCUCUCAGUGGCAGAGAAGAAAUUGAAAUCGGCUGCAGAAAAACCAGACAACUACAAAUCAAGGCCCGGAUUUUGGAGAGGGAGAUAGUGGAGCAGAGCAGGGGAGCCGCUCACUUGAAAUACAGAUUGGAGAUAAUGCCCAAAAAGAGGCUGCCUGAGGGAUACAGGCGGCACAAACCAAUUCCGGGAAGACCUGGGAUGCAGAAUCCUGCACAGAGAGGUAGGGAGCACAUUGUGAAGUGCAGCCACUUAAUUUCUGCUGCAAAACCUCUCCAUGUCCCACUUGUUCCUGUGGGGGAUUGUCAUGUUGUCUGGAAACAAUCCCAAGCAUGACAUAAAGACAACAGGUUGUCUCAAGGGGUGACAGGAAGAUGUCUUCCUCAGGUGCCCCAGCCACAAUGGCUUUCUGGGCCUGUGCCCUGUGACUGGUGGAGCUCAUGCCCCUCCACUGACUGUGGACCUUCUCCACCUGCCAACACCCCCAGGACCUUGGGUCGCUCUUAAUUGGAGAGAUGUGCCUGGAAGGGAAAGUGGGUCUAUGCUUCCUUCCCACCUUGAGUCAAUGGUGAAGACUUGAUUUUUCUUUUAGUUGAGAAAAAAGGCAUUUAUUUACCAUUUUGGAGGCUCCCUUAUUUUUUCUGUUCAACUUUUGAUUGUGGACCAUAGUAUUCCAUUCAUAAAUUACAUUUCUAUGUAAUUUUACUCCUGACAUCAUCAGUGUAAUGCUACAGCUUUACUGCUAAAUCCUCAUAUCUUCCGUUUUCUCGUUACUAUAACAUUAGCUUAAGUCCAUUUCUUUUCAUAAAUAUUUAUAUAAUUCCUGCUCACAUGUAGAAGGUAGCUUGUAUGAAGAGUGAGAGAUUGAAAAAAUCCACCUGUGGCCUGAAGAAAAAGAGCUGUGCUGUUCAUAUUGAGGGUUUGUUGCUAUUAUCCCAUCCAAACUUAUUCUCAUUUUAAUUUUACCCCGUGAGGAAAUCCUGAGGUCUCCUGACGUGUAUUGGGAAACCCUCUUUCAUUGCUGAUUUCCAGCUAGUUGAGCCUGAACCUGUCCACAAGUGGCUGAUGGAUGAGUUAUGAAAACCCCUGAACCAGGGCCCUGUGGGGUCUUCCUCAAGCAAGGGUCGGGGGGUGCGGGGGCGGGUCUCCCCGGCCUCCUCAGGGGCGAGCCGAGGCGCUUGGGGAGCCGCCUGCCGCCAGCCAGGUCCCUGAGGGUGGGCCAGGGCGUCAGGCGCCUUCUGGAGGAUGGCGCCGAGGGUCCCUGUUCCUUCCCCACGGUCCGGUCCACGCGGGCCUGAGGAAUAAGCCUCCAUCCCUGCUGUCUGGCCUCUGUCAGAUGCGGGACCUGGUUCUGCGGCUCCCCGGAAGGACAGCGGCUCCCGCCCCCCGGAGCAGGCGGCUGCAGCGGCGCAGCAGCAGGCCGUGGGCAAGAGGAAUGUUGAAGCAAGAGGGCCUCCUCCUUUCGAAGGACCAUCUGGCAUGGCCAGCUUUAUGGGGCUGCCCUUUGUUUCCACUCACAGGCUCUGGGCCACCUCCACCUCCUCCACCCCGGUGGCCUCUAGGACCUCAUCCUCCACCUGCACCUGCUCCCCUCGGUCUCUGUGAUUCUUACUGUGCCCAGGGACUCAGCAGGGAAUCGUGUUCUACCCAGCACGUUCGCUGUCUUGGUGCAGCCUCCAUAAGGCUGUGUAGUAAGAGGAUUUAGGAUUGUUUCUGGGGAGAAAUCUGACAGAAAUCCAGAGACAAGGGAGAUGCGUUCAGCUGGGACAUGAAUACACUAAAUACUAAGUAUCAGGACCUUCCGGGACAAUGAGCCGGGGACCCACUUUCAGAGCCAUAUUGGAACCACAGCCUGAGACAUCCUGGUUGCUUCCAAGUUUGGGAAAUUAUGAAUAAAGCUGCUGUGAACACCUAUGUGCAGGUUUUUGUGUAGCUAAAACUUUUCAGCUCUUUGGAAUGUAGUUGUAUAUUUUCGUUGUGGGUCCUUCUGGUUGUGCUAUGUGGG